rnacentral:rRNA from 1 species
UCGAGCGAGAAAGGGGAGCAAUCCUCUGAGUAAAGCGGCGCACGGGUGAGUAACACGUGGGUAAUCUGCCCUGGAGUGGGGAAUAACACCGGGAAACCGGUGCUAAUACCGCAUACGAUAACGAGGUCUGCGGACUUUGUUAUGAAAGGAGCAAUUCGCUCUAGGAGGAGCCCGCGGCUGAUUAGCUAGUUGGCGAGGUAAUGGCUCACCAAGGCUACGAUCAGUAUCCGGUCUGAGAGGACGGUCGGACACACUGGAACUGAGACACGGUCCAGACUCCUACGGGAGGCAGCAGUGGGGAAUUUUUCGCAAUGGGGGCAACCCUGACGAAGCAACGCCGCGUGGGUGAUGAAGUAUCUCGGUACGUAAAACCCUUUCGACGGGGAAGAAACCGCAAGGUUGACGGUACCCGUAGAAGAAGCCCCGGCUAACUCCGUGCCAGCAGCCGCGGUAAUACGGGGGGGGCAAGCGUUGUUCGGAAUUACUGGGCGUAAAGGGUGCGUAGGCGGUCCGCUAAGUUGGAUGUGAAAACUCUGGGCUUAACCCAGAGCCUGCAUUCAAAACUGACGGGCUAGAGUUCUGGAGGGGGUAGCGGAAUUCCUGGUGUAGCGGUGAAAUGCGUAGAUAUCAGGAGGAACACCGGUGGCGAAGGCGGCUACCUGGACAGAAACUGACGCUGAGGCACGAAAGCUAGGGGAGCAAACAGGAUUAGAUACCCUGGUAGUCCUAGCCCUAAACGAUGGAUACUUGGUGUAGCUGGGAUUGAAUCCAGCUGUGCCGAAGCUAACGCAUUAAGUAUCC